rnacentral:lncRNA from 1 species
UCCCAAAGUGCUGGGAUUACAGGCAUGAGCCACCACACCUGGCCUAAAGUCCUUUUAAAAAAAAAAAAAAAGCGCAAAAGGCUUGCACAGACACCACCAAAUGAGACAUCUGGAUGAUAAAUAAGUACAUGAAGAAAUGCUCAACAAUUGGUCAUCAGGGAAAUGCAAGUUAAAACCACAACAAGGAACCAUCACACACUCACUAGAAUGACUUUUUUUUUUAAUUGACAGUUCCAAGUGUUGGUAAAGAUGUAGAACAACUGAAACUUUCAUACACUGCUGGUGGAAAUAUAAAAUGGUACACCCACUUUGGAGAAAUGUUUGACAGUUUCUUACAAAAUUAAACACCAUAUCAUCCAGUAAUCCUACUCCUGGAUAUUUACCCAAGAUAAACUAAGAUAUAUGUCCACAAAAAGAUAUACUAGGAUGUUUACAGGAGUUUUAUUCAUAAUAGUAAAAAACUAGAAAUAGCCCAAAGUCCAUCAACAGAUAAAAGGAUAAACGGUGAUAUAUUCAUACAAUAGACUUCUACUCAGCAAUUAAAAGGAACAAGCUACUGAUAGAUGCCAUGGCAUGGAUAAAUCACAUAGACAUGCUGAGUCAUAGAAGUCAGACACAAAAGACUACUGUUAUGAACUGAUUGUGUCCCUCGCAAAAUUCGUAAGUUGAAAUCCUUUCCUACAAUGUGACUGUAUUUGGAGAUGGGGCCUUUAAAGAGGUAAUUAAAGUUAAAUGAAGUCAAAGGGCCAAUAAGUCAAAUCCAAUAGGAACCUAUUGAAUUGGGGCUCUAACCCAAUAGGACUAGUGUCCUUAUAAAAAGAGGAAGAGACACCAAAGAUGUGUGUGUCCUGAGAAAAGGCCAUGUGAGGACACAGCCAGAAGACAGCCAUCUGCAAGCCAAAGAGAGAGGCCUCAGAAGAAACCAAACCUGCCGACAUCUUCAUCUUGGACUUCCAGUCUUUAAAACUGUAAAAAAUAAAUUUCCAUUGCUUAAGCCACCCAGUCUGUGGUAUUUUUUGGCAGCUCUACCUGCCAAAUACAACUACAUAUUGUACAAUUCUAUUUAUAUGAAGUUUUAGAACAGGUAAGGCAGAUCAGUGGUUGCCUGGGCCCUGGGAUAAGGAGACAGAUACUGACUGCAAACGGGGACAAGGAAACCUUUGGGGAUGAUGGAAAUAUUCUGUUUUACUGUGGUGGUGGCUGCAUGGAUAUAUGUAUUUGUAAAACUCAUCAAAAUGUACACUUAAAAUUGGCACAUUUAUGAAAAUUAUACCUCAAUAAAGUUGAUUUUAAAAGAAAAUAUUUCUCUGUGGAAUGUGGAUGUCUGAAAUUCAGAAAAGGAAACAAAAUAUUUGGUAAAAAGCAUAGACAAACUAUGGAAUGGAAUGUAAGGGAGUUGUGAAGUCUGCCAGUGCUUCAUAACUUUCAUUCUGCAAUUUUGAAUGUUUAGAGAGGUGCAUUCCCAGCAAACAAGGCUUUGCAUAGUCUCGCCCCUAAGUCCAAAGUGGGAUGCAGAUGGAGCUCUAUAUGCUAAAGGCCCCUGGAAUCAUAACCGUGUGUUUCCUAAAGUUUAUUCAUCAAAACAGCCAACAUUAAA